GUGGGAUUGGCGGAAUUGGUAGACGCGCAAGAUUUAGGUUCUUGUGGAUAAUCCGUGAGAGUUCAAGUCUCUCAUCCCGCACCA
rnacentral:tRNA from 1 species